UGUUAAGAAAAAUAUGAUGGACACACGUUUUCUUCGCCUUUAUAUUGUUGGCGCUGUGUUUGCUGCUGUCGUCCUUUUCCUCGGCUUCGCCGGGUGCAUAAUAAUCUGUGGAAAGGUGUGUACGAGAAAGUCGGACAUGGAGGGCAAUGUACCUAUGGACGCAGCGGCUACAACCAUGGAAGAAAAGGUACUUCUCUAACAUGAGCAUGACCCCUACAGUUGAGGAGGGAAUGGACUUGGUCGAGACCAUGGCCUCAAUGAAAAACCAGGACCUGGAACUGCUGAGACUGAAACAAAGAAUUUGAUAAUCUGUGGUCGUCGGAGUACUACUAUAUUUUUGUAUGUCAAUAAAAAGGUCAUUUGGUUGAGUACUCUACAUAAUGAACUCUCAAUCAUAAGCCUGGUUUUAAUUAAGGUUUAUCUAUGUACUCUACAUAAUGAUCAUAGUGUCAAAAUGUCUAGCAA